CCCGCUGAACUUAAGCAUAUCAUUAAGCGGAGGAAAAGAAACUAACAAGGAUGCCCUCAGUAACGGCGAGUGAAGCGGGCAGAGCUCAAACUGAAAAUCGGGGCUCCAUGCGGGGUUUCGAAUUGUAGUCUAUAGACGCGCUAUCAGCGAUGAACCGGGUAUAAAUCUUUUGAAACAAGGUGUCAUAGAGGGUGAGAACCCCGUCUUUGACUCGGAGCUCAUUGCGUACGAUGCGUGUUCAAAGAGUCGAGUUGCUUGGGAUUGCAGCUCUAAGUGGGUGGUAAAUUUCAUCUAAAGCUAAAUAUUGACGAGAGACCGAUAGCGAACAAGUACCGUGAGGGAAAGAUGAAAAGAACUUUGAAAAGAGAGUUAAAAAGUACUUGAAAUUGUUAAGAGGGAAGCACUGGAAACCAGUAUUGCCGGUUGCUGUACUCGCCUAUCUGCGGGUUGGAGGCUGCGUGCCGGGAGUUCAAACCUCGGUUGCGUAGUUGAAGGCUCGUGGGUGGGUUCAGCAGUGAUUGGUGGGUCAAAAUCAAUUCGACUCGCGGGAGAAAGCUAUCUGGAAGAUAGGGUCGAGGGGCAACCUAAGACCUGUUAUAGACAGGUAGUGCUACCGUGGGUUGGAUUGAGGAACAAAUGCGCACCACUAGGUUUCAGUUCCCCGACCCUGGGGUGUGAUCGGCGUUGGAUAGCAAAGCUAUGCGCGUUGAGUAAUGCUCUACUGGAAGGGAUGAACUAGAUGCAGCAUUCGAGAUUUUGACGAAAUGGUUUUCAUUGACCCGUCUUGAAACACGG
rnacentral:rRNA from 1 species